rnacentral:rRNA from 1 species
GAUGAACGCUGGCGGCGUGCCUAAUACAUGCAAGUCGAGCGAACGGACGAGAAGCUUGCUUCUCUGAUGUUAGCGGCGGACGGGUGAGUAACACGUGGAUAACCUACCUAUAAGACUGGGAUAACUUCGGGAAACCGGAGCUAAUACCGGAUAAUAUUUUGAACCGCAUGGUUCAAAAGUGAAAGACGGUCUUGCUGUCACUUAUAGAUGGAUCCGCGCUGCAUUAGCUAGUUGGUAAGGUAACGGCUUACCAAGGCAACGAUGCAUAGCCGACCUGAGAGGGUGAUCGGCCACACUGGAACUGAGACACGGUCCAGACUCCUACGGGAGGCAGCAGUAGGGAAUCUUCCGCAAUGGGCGAAAGCCUGACGGAGCAACGCCGCGUGAGUGAUGAAGGUCUUCGGAUCGUAAAACUCUAUUAUUAGGGAAGAACAUAUGUGUAAGUAACUGUGCACAUCUUGACGGUACCUAAUCAGAAAGCCACGGCUAACUACGUG